rnacentral:rRNA from 1 species
AAUCAACGCUGGCGGCGUGCCUAACACAUGCAAGUCGAACGCGAAAAGGGAGCAAUCCCUAAGUAGAGUGGCAAACGGGUGAGUAACACGUGGGUGACCUGCCUUCGAGUGGGGGAUAACGUUCCGAAAGGAGCGCUAAUACCGCAUGACAUCCUGCCUUUAGACAGGCGGAGAUCAAAGCUGGGGAUCGCAAGACCUAGCGCUUGAAGAGGGGCCCGCGCCUGAUUAGCUAGUUGGUGAGGUAACGGCUCACCAAGGCGACGAUCAGUAGCCGGCCUGAGAGGGCGGACGGCCACACUGGGACUGAGACACGGCCCAGACUCCUACGGGAGGCAGCAGUGGGGAAUAUUGGACAAUGGGGGGAACCCUGAUCCAGCCAUGCCGCGUGUGUGAAGAAGGCCUUUAGGUUGUAAAGCACUUUAAGCGAGGAGGAGGCUACUGAGACUAAUACUCUUGGAUAGUGGACGUUACUCGCAGAAUAAGCACCGGCUAACUCUGUGCCAGCCGCCGCCGUAAGAC